AGUUCUUCAUUUGACUGCUCUGUUUCCAUGGUGACAAAGCUGCCAGGUGAAGAGCUAU
rnacentral:pre_miRNA from 1 species